GACGAACGCUGGCGGCGUGCUUAACACAUGCAAGUCGAACGGAAAGGCCCCUUCCGGUUUACUCGAUUGGCGAACGUGUGAGUAACACGUGAGUAACCUGCCCUUGCCUUCGGGAUAACUUCAGGAAACUGGGGCUAAUACCGGAUAGGAAUCCUUGUCGCAGGUUGGGGCUUGAAAAGCUUGGGCGGUUUUGGAUGGACUGGCGGUUUAUCAUCUUGUUGUUGGGGUAGUGGCUUACCAAGGUCUUGACCGGUAGCCGGCCUGAGAGGGCGACCGGCCACAUUGGGGAUGAGAAAGGGACGAAGCUGCCACGGAAGGCAGCAGUGGGGAAUAAUGCAGAAGGGGCGGAAGCCUGAUACAGCAAGGCCGCGUGGGGGAGGACGGCCUUCGGGUUGUAAAACGAUUUCAGCAGGGGCGAAGCUUGUGGUGACGGUACCUGCAGAAGAAGCACCGGCUAACUACGUG
rnacentral:rRNA from 1 species